rnacentral:piRNA from 1 species
UGGACACAAGAGUGUGGAACAGGUAUGAC